rnacentral:ncRNA from 1 species
UGAAUUCAACGAUUCCAGUAUAAAUGAACGAAAAAAAGAAACGACAUCACAAUGAAAUUCGAAUCUCAACGCAAAAUGAGGGGGGAUAUGGCGAAAUUGGUAGACGCUACGGACUUAAUUAGAUUGGGCCUUGGUAUGGAAACCCGCCGAGUGAGAACUUUCAAAUUCAGAGAAACCCCGGAAUUAAUAAAAAGGGGCAAUCCUGAGCCAAAUCCUGUUGUCUGAAAACAAAGGUUCAGAAAAUGAAACAAGGGAUAGGUGCAGAGACUCAAUGGAAGCUGUUCUAACAAAUGGAGUUGGAUGCGGUAGUAGAGAAGUCUGUCCAUCAAAAAUUCAGUAAGUAUUAAGUAUAAGUAUUAAGGAUGAGGUGAAGGAUAAACGUAUAUACAUACGUAGUGAAUAGUAUAUUAAAUGAGUAAUGACAGCCUGAAUGAAUCUAUGUUUUUUCUAUGAAAAAACAAAGAAUUGGUGUGAAUAGAUUCUACGUUGAAUAAAGAAUCGAAUAUUCAUUGAUCAAAUGAUUCACUCCAUAGUCUGAUAAAUCUUUUCAAGAACUGAUUAAUCGGACGAGAAUAAAGAUAGAGUCCCAUUCCACAUGUCAAUGCCGGCAGCAAUGAAAUUUAUAGUUAAGAGGAAAAUCCGUCGACUUUUAAAAUCGUGAGGGUUCAAGUCCCUCUAUCCCCAAAUAAACUAUUUGACUCCCCAACUAUCGAUUUACCUAUCCCUCUUUUUGUUAUCGGAUCAAAAUUCCUUAUCCAUUCACUCUAUUCUCUUAGAAUUGAUCGGUGCGGAAAUGCCUUUUUCUUAUCACAUCUAUAUGAUAUACAUACAAAUGAACAUCCUUGAGCAAGAAAUACCCAUUUGAAUGAUUUACAAUCUAUAUAAUUACACUAAUACUGAAACUCCCAAAGUCCUCUUUUUUAAGAUCCAAGCCAAGCAAUUUCAGUACCUAAAUAAAACUUGGGAAUUCCCUUUCCUUCUUUUAAUUGACACAGCCCCCAUUUUUCGAGUAAAAUGAGGAUG